rnacentral:lncRNA from 1 species
AUUCGACAAUUCAUUAAAAAAAAUUUCAUAAAUUAAAAUAUUUUUUCUAUAACAAGGAGGGACAUAUCAAGAAGGAUUGUGAGAAAAGAAGAAAAUGGUUUGAAAAGAAGAGUAUUCCCUUAUCACUUGUUUGUUUCGAAAUUAAUUUUAUUGAUGUUCUUUUUAAUACCUAAUAGAUUGAUUCGAAUGCUGCAAUUUAUAUUUUUAAUUCAUUACAGAGAUUUCUUUCA